UAGAGGAUAGUAUAAUGGAGUGCUAAAGAUUUUGAGUCUUUACGUGCAGGUUCGAGUCCUGUUCUUCUAA
rnacentral:tRNA from 1 species